GACGAACGCUGGCGGCGCGCCUAACACAUGCAAGUCGAACGAGAGAUGAGGAGCUUGCUCUUCAAAUCGAGUGGCGAACGGGUGAGUAACGCGUGAGGAACCUGCCUCAAAGAGGGGGACAACAGUUGGAAACGACUGCUAAUACCGCAUAAGCCCACGGCUCGGCAUCGAGCAGAGGGAAAAGGAGCAAUCCGCUUUGAGAUGGCCUCGCGUCCGAUUAGCUAGUUGGUGAGGUAACGGCCCACCAAGGCGACGAUCGGUAGCCGGACUGAGAGGUUGAACGGCCACAUUGGGACUGAGACACGGCCCAGACUCCUACGGGAGGCAGCAGUGGGGAAUAUUGCACAAUGGGGGAAACCCUGAUGCAGCGACGCCGCGUGGAGGAAGAAGGUCUUCGGAUUGUAAACUCCUGU
rnacentral:rRNA from 1 species